rnacentral:lncRNA from 1 species
UUGGGAAAAGCAGAACCCCAGUCACAACAAGUGCCUCCGAAGUUGCAAUAGCGAGAAAGACUCCUACAGGAACCAAGCAUGCCACGCUCGUUGCAACCUCCUUAAGGUGGAGGAAGAAGAAGAAUGCGAAGAAGGUCAAAUUCCACGACCACGACCACAACACCCGGAGAGGGAACGUCAGCAACACGGUGAGAAGGAGGAAGACGAAGGUGAGCAGCCACGUCCAUUCCCAUUCCCACGCCCACGCCAACCUCAUCAAGAGGAAGAGCACGAGCAGAAGGAGGAACACGAAUGGCAUCGCAAGGAGGAAAAACACGGAGGAAAGGGAAGUGAAGAGGAACAAGAUGAACGUGAACACCCACGCCCACACCAACCUCAUCAAAAGGAAGAGGAAAAGCACGAAUGGCAACACAAGCAGGAAAAGCACCAAGGAAAGGAAAGUGAAGAAGAAGAAGAAGACCAAGACGAGGAUGAGGAGCAAGACAAAGAGAGCCAAGAAAGUGAAGGUUCUGAGUCUCAAAGAGAACCACGAAGACAUAAGAAUAAGAACCCUUUUCACUUCAACUCUAAAAGGUUCCAAACUCUCUUCAAAAACCAAUAUGGCCACGUUCGCGUCCUCCAGAGGUUCAACAAACGCUCCCAACAGCUUCAGAAUCUCCGAGACUACCGCAUUUUGGAGUUCAACUCCAAACCCAACACCCUUCUUCUCCCCCACCAUGCUGACGCUGAUUACCUCAUCGUUAUCCUUAACGGUUAGUAUUCCUUUCCUCUCAAAAUAAAAUAAAUGUCAUUAUUUUAUGCGGAUUAAGAAAAAUUAUUAAAUAAAUAAAAACAAAACCAACAAUUUUAUAAAAACUAAUCUUACUAUGACACUUAUUUAAUUAAUUAAUAAACAUCAUCACAUGCUUUUACUUCUCAUAAAAUUAUGUUAUUGAAUUUGUUUUGUUAAUUACAGGGACUGCCAUUCUUACCUUGGUGAACAACGACGACCGAGACUCUUACAACCUUCAAUCUGGCGAUGCCCUAAGAGUCCCUGCAGGAACCACAUACUAUGUGGUUAACCCUGACAACGACGAGAAUCUCAGAAUGAUAACACUCGCCAUACCCGUUAACAAACCCGGUAGAUUUGAG